GCGGGUGUGGCGGAACUGGCAAACGCGCUGGGUUUAGGUCCCAGUGGGCUUAAAACGCCCUUGGAGGUUCGAGUCCUCUCGCCCGCA
rnacentral:tRNA from 1 species